GACAAUAAUAAUAUUUGAUGAUUUGUGUGUUCCAUAGUGCAGUUCCACCAUUGCCUGCUAUAUACCCCAGUGCAAUUCGACCAUACCCGCCCUGGCAAACAAAAUCCCGAGCAACGCCGGGUAACGAAAACUAGAAUAAAAUUAAAACAUAUUAUUCACACAUUAAACAAAGUUAUGGUUUUAAUAAAAUAAUAUAGGUAAGUCGUAAGUAAAAUAAUUACAUAAAAAAAUUUAGAUUUUUCUAAACCAAUUUUUCAAAUUUAAAUUUCUGAAUACAAUAAGAAAUUAAUCGUUCAGUCAAGACCGACGAAUCGUUGCCACGGCAUUGAGCUCGAUAUUCAGAUGGGGGUCUUCGAUGCGGUACCGUCCUCGUUCACCGAUGGUGGUUGGUGCGAAACACUAGUGCUUACCGCUACUAAGCCGAAUGUCGUUGCCAGCUUGCCCUCCACGCAAAAAACGGUCCUCCAACUUCCAAGGCACCCAAUGUACCUACGUCUGCUUAAUGUGAUCGUUUUCCCGUGAUUUAAGCGCCACGUUGUGCACACCGCCUGAUACAGUGUUGUAUUCGUUCAGCAUCCGACUCUAUUUUGAUUGUAGCCCUCCAUGCCCGUCUGUGCCGUUGGGUCUCAUAUUCCCGCCAGUGGAAAUUUAAAUACAUCUAACAUCAAGGUACAUCAAGAACACAACAAAAACAAUUAUAACGUGACACUAAAUAAUUAUUAUAAUUAUUAUUAUACUCCUCAAACAAUAAGGAACAUUGCAGAUGGACUUGAUGCUACAAAAUUAGUUAGAAAUAGAAAUAAUGAAUUACAAAGAAAUAUCUAAGCAGUAAGUUUUCUGUUUAUCACGUCAUACCGCUUUCGGGUACAGUCCCCACCAACAUUUCAGCGGAAUUCAGUCCUAGUCGCGCCACUGAAUUCGCCACAGACUUUUCAGCUAUAGAAUUUCCUCUAUAAUAAUUUUUAUUUAUAAUAAUUAAUAUUAUAAUAGGAAAGAAGACCAGCAGUGGACUCUGAUGAUGAUACCAGAUACAGGGAGGAGCUAGAGACCAAGAAGCGAACAACCGUAUUAUACAACAUCUCGCGAGACUUGAGAUAAUGAUUGGUUCACAUAUACUAAUUUCAGCAAUUGGAUUACAAAGAACCAACCAGGACCAAGAAAUGGAGACCGUAUUAUACGACACCUGUUUCAAAUGGCGUAUCCCAGAUGGGAAAAGAUAAUGGCUAUGUUAACUUGGGAAAAUGUCGUACGGUUUGUACGACAGUUGGGACAUGGCGUGGAAGUUAUUGAAGGAUACCGGCAGGGGAUAAUCCUGUCGGUGAGACGCUCAAUAGUAAGUUUUAAGUCCAUCACGUCCUUGGCUGGGGAUCGAAUCCCCGAACAAAAAUCCGACGAAAUAAAGUCCGGCGUAAAAAAUUCCGACGGAAUAAAAGUCCCAAAUUUAAUAAUUAUUAAGUUAAGUCACUUAAUAUUAAUUUCCGCCAAUGAUAUAUUUAUAGCACGCGGUUGAACCGACUGGAGCUCAUUACAUAUGUAAUUAUUGGAGUAGUAAUUCUAUAAUUUUCAAUAAUUAUUACAUUAUAUUAUUAUAAUUAAUAAAAUGUAUAAAUUAAUAAUUCAAUUUUGUUAUUAAAAAUUAUUUCCCCCUUUCGUUCACACCACACGCCGUUUAAGUACAAUACUCUGGGGAUCGUAUCCAGCCAAUCAUUUACAAUGUUUGUGAUGCAUUGCUCUAUAAUAAUUUUUAUUUAUGAUAAUUAAUAUUAUUGUAACGGAUAGUAACCGUUUACUCACAACGCAUAAAUAUCAUUAUAUAUGAAUAGUUAAAAGUAGGAAUAAGCAAGUAGGUAGUCGACCUCCUUUAAACAAUUUUGGCAAUAGUCAAGUGUUUAUUCACGAUCAAUAUUAAAACGCAAAUCACGAAUCAGUUGUCAGGAUAAGGGGAUUGCUAAAAUCACGAGUAGAUAUACGUAUAUGUAUAUGUACGCAUUUAUGGACCAGGAUGUGGUAACCGAUAAGAAUUUAGUAAAUUCACAGAAGAGAUGACGCACUGCACGACAAAUAAACUAGCUGUCAGAACACUAUGGCAAAUACUCAGAUUAGAUAGGAAUAUUGCAAAUGCGUAGGUUGAGUCGAUGGUCACACGGAUCGCAUCCGGUAGAGACAAGAUAGCGAACCGAUAGGCAGGGGGA